AUGAACGCUGGCGGCGUGCCUAAUCCAUGCCGGUCGAGCGUACAGACGAGGAGCUUGCUCCUCUGACGUUAGCGGCGGACGGGUGAGUAACACGUGGAUAACCUACCUAUAAGACUGGGAUAACUUCGGGAAACCGGAGCUAAUACCGGAUAAUAUAUUGAACCGCAUGGUUCAAUAGUGAAAGACGGUUUUGCUGUCACUUAUAGAUGGAUCCGCGCCGCAUUAGCUAGUUGGUAAGGUAACGGCUUACCAAGGCAACGAUGCGUAGCCGACCUGAGAGGGUGAUCGGCCACACUGGAACUGAGACACGGUCCAGACUCCUACGGGAGGCAGCAGUAGGGAAUCUUCCGCAAUGGGCGAAAGCCUGACGGAGCAACGCCGCGUGAGUGAUGAAGGUCUUCGGAUCGUAAAACUCUGUUAUUAGGGAAGAACAAAUGUGUAAGUAACUAUGCACGUCUUGACGGUACCUAAUCAGAAAGCCACGGCUAACUACGUG
rnacentral:rRNA from 1 species